rnacentral:rRNA from 1 species
GGGGAGCAAUCCCCGAGUAGAGCGGCGAACGGGUGAGUAACGCGUGGGUAAUCUACCUCCGAGUGGGGAAUAACAGCGGGAAACUGCUGCUAAUACCGCAUGACAUCGUCGAGCCCUCGGGCCUGACGAUCAAAGCCGGGGACCGCAAGGCCUGGCGCUUGGAGAGGAGCCCGCGUCCGAUUAGCUAGUUGGCGGGGUAAUGGCCCACCAAGGCUCCGAUCGGUAGCCGGCCUGAGAGGGCGGACGGCCACACUGGGACUGAGACACGGCCCAGACUCCUACGGGAGGCAGCAGUGGGGAAUUUUUCGCAAUGGGGGAAACCCUGACGAAGCAACGCCGCGUGGAGGAUGAAGGCCUUCGGGUCGUAAACUCCUGUCGACCGGGACGAACGCUAUUGGGCCCAAUACGCCCGAUAGUCGACUGUACCGGUGGAGGAAGCCACGGCUAACUCUGUGCCAGCAGCCGCGGUAAUACAGAGGUGGCAAGCGUUGUUCGGAAUUACUGGGCGUAAAGGGCGCGUAGGCGGUCUUGUCAGUCCCUUGUGAAAUCCCCCGGCUCAACUGGGGAACUGCAAGGGAAACAGCAGGGCUUGAGUUCGGGAGAGGGAAGCGGAAUUCCGGGUGUAGCGGUGAAAUGCGUAGAUAUCCGGAGGAACACCGGUGGCGAAGGCGGCUUCCUGGACCGACACUGACGCUGA